rnacentral:tRNA from 1 species
ACUAUUUUGGCAGAUUAGUGCAAUAAAUUUAGAAUUUAUUUAUAUAGAUUUUUCUAUAAAUAGUAC